UUUCUUUCUCUACCUAUAGAAACCUUAUGGCUUUCUCUACUUGUAGUCGGUCCCUGUAUAAGUCACAGAAGGUCACCGAUAGUUUCUAGUGGAGCCUCUGACUCAGAAUAUUAUUUAUUAUAAAGAUUUAAAGUUAUGAAAAUCUCUCCUUAAAACAGAUUAUAACUUUUAAAAUACAUCUCCACUAGAUAUUAAACACUUUCAUAAUAGAAAUAUAAAAUAAUUUCCUGAAUUUUCAAAGCCAUUUUUUUCUUUUUGAUAACAACUUGGU
rnacentral:lncRNA from 1 species